AUUGAACGCUGGCGGCAGGCUUAACACAUGCAAGUCGAGCGGAGCGAGGGUGCUUGCACCUUAGCUUAGCGGCGGACGGGUGAGUAAUGCUUAGGAAUCUGCCUAUUAGUGGGGGACAACAUUCCGAAAGGAAUGCUAAUACCGCAUACGCCCUACGGGGGAAAGCAGGGGAUCUUCGGAACUUGCGCUAAUAGAUGAGCCUAAGUCGGAUUAGCUAGUCGGUGGGGUAAAGGCCUACCAAGGCGACGAUCUGUAGCGGGUCUGAGAGGAUGAUCCGCCACACUGGGACUGAGACACGGCCCAGACUCCUACGGGAGGCAGCAGUGGGGAAUAUUGGACAAUGGGCGGAAGCCUGAUCCAGCCAUGCCGCGUGUGUGAAGAAGGCCUUUUGGUUGUAAAGCACUUUAAGCGAGGAGGAGGCUACUUAGAUUAAUACUCUGGGAUAGUGGACGUUACUCGCAGAAUAAGCACCGGCUAACUCUGUGCCAGCAGCCGCAGUAACAC
rnacentral:rRNA from 1 species